rnacentral:rRNA from 1 species
UCGGCUGCAUGAAGCCGGAAUCGCUAGUAAUCGCGGAUCAGAACGCCGCGGUGAAUACGUUCCCGGGUCUUGUACACACCGCCCGUCACACCAUGGGAGUCGGGAACGCCCGAAGUCGGUGCCCCAACCUAACGGAGGGAGCCGCCGAAGGCAGGCCCGGCGACUGGGGUGAAGUCGUAACAAGGUACC